GCUUCACUGAAUAAAAUGCCGUGAACCCGUCUCCACUCGCGUUCGCAACGUGGCUUUCGAGAUCACGGUACGCGCAGUGCUACACGAGUAAUCUAAAAAUAAAACGUUGACGCUACGCACAUAGAAGCGUUGUGAUGGCUACGCGAAAUAUGACGCAAAAAACGUCACGUUUAUUUUAUGGCCCAUUCACACUUGCGACUGUCGCACGGUAGCGCUGCCGACCAAUCCGGAUCAAGGCGGAAGUGCGGUGCGUAUCGUGCGUCGCUAUGUGGUCGCUAUGACUGUUCGUACGCCUGCUUUCGUUUGAUGCUGGGCAUGGGUGUUCUGUGGCUGGGCUAGCCCAUCGGUUAUCUCAGUGCAGUGUGCGUUCUUUGGAUACCAAGAGGAAUUUGCAGCGUCGAUGUGGCAGCCUUGUUCUGUGCUUGAUACCGCGAGAACACCUGUCACCGGAACGAUCGAGAUCACAACGCGAAAGCCAGAGCGAGGCCCGAGGCCCUUGCGUCCGUGCCGGCGCUUUAUGUUCCGCCAGGUUGGACAUGUAGCGCAGAAGGGCAAGAAUGAGCCGUGCUGUUGAGCUGGUGUGAAUGCCAAUCGAUUACAGCGCGGUGCGAUCACGACAGCUUCCCAUUCGGUACUGAAUCGUCGCUACGGAGGCUACAGCCUCUGGAAACGGGUUCGACAUGUGAUCGGUUGCCGUUAUCGCGUGCUGCCCAUCGCAUAUUGCGCGGUAUUGCAUCUGAACGUUGCAAUAGUUAAAGGGAAGUCAUGGCGGUCGCGUUCAGUCCAGACGCUCAACUCAUCCCCAAAGACGCUGCGGUUACGCAGGCUUCGCAGGUGCCCGCCUGCCGCUACGUAGCCGUUCUCAACGAACUAUGUGACGUCGAUCGCGUGCGCUUCGCGUUUCUUGUGUACGGCGCGAUGAACUCGCAGCACGGCGUACCGCCUUCGCAGAGAUCGCGCGCCCUGGUGCGCUACCUGACCGGUACCAGUCCAGAUUUCGACGUCGUCAAGGGUUGUUUGAUCGAGUGCGGCGCGUCGCCCGAUGAAACCGCCUUGGAGAUGCUGUACGUAAUGCACAAGUUCGAGCCCAUGCGAAGGAUAUUUGGAAUCUGCAGCCACAGAGCCAGUACGCUUUACCAGUCGCCCAGGCGUGUCAGGAAAUUUUGGCGUGAGUUGGCCAACUUCUGCGAGUCCUGUUUGGAUGAGGAGGCUGCAGAGAUCUUGAGGCACUUUCUGCCCGAAUCUUUGCUGUCCGGUGUGCCGACACAUGCGGAAGCAGUUGUUGUGCUGCUUUACGAGAGCAGCAUCAUUACCCUGGACAACUAUUCUGCUCUGUACGAACAUAUAAGGGCAGCGUACAACAACGAAGAACUCUUGGAACAUCUCUGUGAAACAGUGCCACGGUAUUCCAUGGCAAACAGCCCCCAUGGAUAUGCAGUCAUUUUAAACCAUAAUGUGUUCAAAGACCCAAAGAAGGAGAUCAAGCUGGAGGAACGACGGGGAACAAAGAAAGAUGUUGAUGUGCUCAAACAACUGUGGGAGGAGCUCGAUUUUGACGUCAGAGUGUACAGUGACUACACAUUAACUGAAAUCGAAAAGUUAUUACAAGAAAUUGCCACAGUUUGGGAUCACCGGAAGAGCGAUGCUCUUGUUUUCAUCAUUUUGUCACAUGGGUACAGAGGUGGCUUCUACGCGAGCGACUGCAAAAAGGUGGACCUUGACACCAUUGAGAGCUACCUCUGCGAGAAAUGUGAUGGUCUCCGGGACAAGCCAAAGGUUCUCUGCGUCCAGGCUUGCCAGAGUGGCGAAUCAUCUGAACCACUGCCCAGGAGCACUGGUGAAAGGCGGAGCCGGGCUCACAUGCUCAAGUUCAUGUCAACAGUGCCUUACUCCCUGUCCUACCGGGAUCCCCACUACGGCAGCGUGUUUGUGCAAGCGUUUGUGGACGCGGUGCGCCGACACUGGCGCAACCACGACCUUCUGCAGAUCGGCACCUUCAUCAACAGUGGCGUGGCCGACAAGCCCAUCCCCGUGGUGUCCAGCGACGGCCAAAACAUCAACUGGUCAAGCCAGACUUCAGAAGUGAGCAACACGUUGACCCGUUCCCUCUACCUGGGAAAAAAGUGAAGCACUGCGGUUGUUUGGCCUCGACACAGAUGACCCUGCCACGUUUUUUUUUUGUUCCCAUUUUCUUUAAAGGUACCAGUCAGUUUAGACUGGUAAACUGUCCUCUCAGAAAGCUUAUCUGCAUUCCCUUGACGUAAAAAAUUUCUCAUUAUACUCAAACCUCGUUAUAACGAAGUUGAAGGGCAAGCCGAAAAUUACUUUGUUAUAUUGAUUAUUGCCCUUUAAUGCAGUUUGAGCCAAGUCUUGCAGGGCUGCACAGUAAGGUCACUGCACUGGGUGGUGUCUGUGGCCUGGCUUUAAUUGCUGUGCGAAAACUCGCCACAUCUGCGCAGGCAAAGCGAGUUUUUGCGAACUCUAUCGUCAGAGCAUGGUCGUCACGUGUGGCAACCAACACAAAUGCGUGUCAUUGUUCUCACAGCAUUCCGAAUCUUCUCUUCUUGCCCUUGUAUUAUAUUUCGCUUUGCAAUUGUUUUACGUUUUGUGUGGCCUUCCGUGGCGCCCUUUUUUUAAUGAUUCUUUUAAUGAAUGACUGUGCCUUACGAGUGUUUUCUUGCUCAAUGUUUAGGGCAGUCCUUCAGACCUGUGUUCAGUCUAGGACUUCGGCUAUGCUAGUCGUGUGUCGUUUGCGCCUGCAAAUUGAAAGUGUUGAUCAAAGUGUUGAAAGUCAGUCAAGCACAGUGCUGCGGACUUUCUGAUAAGUAGUUUUCACAUGGCAGCAGAGACUCUGUAUGUAGCAGUAAAACCCCGUUAACUCGAAUUCGUAAAAACCGGGUAAAAAUUUCGAUGUAAGCGGAUAUUUCGAGAAAAGCUAAUUCCCGAAAAAAAUACAAGCACCAGGCUGCACCAUAGACCACGUAGAGCCUUUCGAAAUAGGCGCCAGUAACCGCUAAAUUUCUUGCAAAAGCUCGGCAUACCAGGAGCGGUGUUUUCGGUAAAUGAUGUUUUUGCCAAAUAUCAAGCGCGAGAUAGUUCGCGCGAGUUGUGGUGUCAUGCUGAUACUGCAAUCUCCACACAAUCGCUUAGCGGGAAUGCUACAGUGCACCUGUGCUCAGUGCUUGUGGCGAGAUCGCUUCCUUCGCUCUGCUUAAAAAGUUUGAGUGAACGUAAUUUGAGAGCGCGUCUACUUGGCUUCUCGGUCGUUUUGCAGCCAAGCUGACAGCGCGUCGCGUGCGUCUUGUUGGGACGUGCUUAUCGAAUGCGAAAUGUACACUUCCCUGCAGCGUUUCAGCGCGUGACAUCCGAGUAGAGGGAAACGUAAGCAGCACUCAACUGAAACUGUCUGUUAUCAAUGAGAUUGUAGCCGGCUCUGAACGGUGCACGAUAAGAGUGGCGCAGAAUGUAGCGGAAUUUGCUACAAGCCUUUUUUGCGGUCCUGUCACCUUUACGUGAUGUCACAGCAGUGCACAAAGUAUGAGAACCUUUGUGUAGUGACUUUCUCCCCGGCGUUUUCUCGGUCGAGAUUUCGAGGUAUUCGUAGUGCAGCGCAAUAUCAUUUUGAGAUAAGAGGUGAAAAAUACAUGCAGUUGGCAUUAAGCCAGGAAAAAAUUUCAAUUGAACCAAUAUUUCGAGAUAUCAAAGUUCGAGUUAACAAGGGUUUACUGUAGUUGAACCAUGUUUAAUGAACACAGAUAUACGAAAUUACUGGAUAUUUUGAAGGGAAUCUAAAAUUUGUCUUCAUUUCAGUGAGUAUUCUACUGCUACAAUGAAAACAAAAAGCCAGAUCAAACACAGUAUUGGUUAUAACCAAGCAACCUUUUGUUUGCAUGUGACUCGGAAGGUGUGUAUUCUGGUAAGAAAUAUGUCACUUCGCAAGAACAAAAUGAAACAGUACAACCUGGAUGCAUGCAGGCCUUUUGGCUAGUAGCUUGGCUUGGCUAGCAAGCCAACGUGCUGAUUCCGUGUGAUCACAAGAAUCGCAUGAUUGUGCAUUAAGGAUGGUGCAAAGUGGGUGUCUGCAACUUGGUGUUGUUUCUGUGCCUCAUGUCGGCAUGACAAUUCGCCAACAGGCCAUCAAAAUUUACAGACGAUCAUUUAACUUGUAAGAGGCGUCGCACUGUUUUUUUGCACACACUCUAUUGCAAGUUUCUUCCUGCUGAUAUAUAUAGGCAUGUAUGCUUAAUGAGUAUCAGGUAUAACAAAGGUCUUUUUCAUGUCAAAUGUGACUUUGUUAUAACUAGGUUUGAGUGUAUCAGAAAACCAUCUGUUGAGCAUGUGAAUGCCCAUCGUAGCCCCUUAUGUUUCGCAAGUGCUGAAAGUUGAUUUCUGUUUGGUUUUGUAAGCAUUGCUGCCUUUGUAGAGUGCAAAUCUUGUCAUCCUGCACACAUGUUCAGCUGGAGAGAUGAGCGUUUGGAUAUUAGCUUUGCAUUUCUUUGUGAAUCCAUAUGUCAGUGUGGUGACUUGCAUCAAACUUGCCACAGCUGAUGUAGCUGAUGAUGGCUCUGAAUCUUUUUUACCCAUUUCCUGCCAGACUUACUGUGUUUGACUUCAUCAUCAGCCUAUAUAUAUAAAUGUCCACUGCAGGAUGAAGGCCUCUUCCUGCGAUCUCCAAUUACCUCUGUCUUGCACUAGCUGGUUGCAACUUACGCCUGCAAAUUUCCGAACUUCAUCACCCCACCUAGUCUUCUGCCGUCCUCAACUGCGCUUCCCUUCUCUUGGUAUCCAUUGUGUAACUCUAAUGGUCCACUGGUUACCGUAUUUACUUGAUUCUAAUGCGCCCUCAAUUGUAAUGGCACCCAUUUUCCGUGACCAAAAAAAAAAAAAAUACCGCGCACCUCAUGCUUUCAUACAGAAAUACAACUUUCUCUCAUUUGGAAAAACAAAGAUUUACUCCCGGUGCACUAAAGUUACGAUGAAUAAAACAGUCACAGUUUUGCCCAAAAGGCGAAGCAUCGAUUGCGAUAGCAAAUUAGUAGAGUACCGCUAUACAAAAUUAGAAAAGCAGUUUUAUCGGCCGUAUAAACUUGCAAACAUUCGCUUACUAAAAAAUUUAACAAGCAUGGUGUCACGCGCGCACAAGCAAACAUGAACACUUCUCGCUCGUCGACCGCGGAAACUCGCUGUCAAUACGCUGGAGUGACAAAACGCGGCGAGCGAAUUGACCUUCGUGCUAGCAUGCCUCUCGCUUCAGCGCGACCCGGCGAAGACACAGCACGUCGCAGAUCGCUUUCAAGAUAGGGCCAAGGCGACCGUAUCACCGAAGUGGAUCGUCGCAGAAUACGUCCUGCUUCGGUACACUGAAACCUUUCCGCGUUGCUUAGCUGGCGAAACUCCUCUCCUUCUGUUUGCGCCAGUCCCGCACGCAAGUUUCGGAUUCUCCAAACGCCCGUGAUGCGGCCCGAUUUCUAUCCGUCUACACACACACACAUGAUCACUUUCCUAUUAAAUGCGGCAUCAUGAUGAACUUGGCACUUUAUGGUGAUAGAGCAGACGCAGAAAACAGGAAGACUAAUGCCUAAGCACGUGUACUGCAGCACAUGGAGGAAACUACGGCAGCUAGGCUAGACUGUAGCUAGGCUCUAAAUGCGUGCGAGGCGGCCAUAUUGAAAUGCCGAUGGCUAUAUGGUAACGCAGAUUUAGGGUCGUACUCAAUUAUAACGUGCACGCAAUUUUUGGACCUGUUUUAUCGGAAAAAAAAGUGCGCGUUAGAUUCGAGUAAAUGCGGUGUACAUCCUACGCAUUACAUGGCCUGUCCAGCUCCAUUUUUUUUUUCUCUUAAUGUCAAUUAGAAAAUCAACUAUCCCCGUUUGCUCUCUGAUCCACACCGCUCUCUUCCAGUCCCUUAACGUUAGGCCUAACAUUUUUCGUUCCAUCGCUCUUUGUGCGGUCCUUAACUUGUUCUCGAGCUUCUUUGUUAACCUCCAAGUUUCUGCCCGAUAUGUUAGCACCGGUAGAAUGCAAUGAUUGUACACUUUUCUUUUCAACGACAGUGGUAAGCUCCCAGUCAGGAUUUGGCAAUGCCUGCCGUAUGCACUCCAACCCAAUUUUAUUCUUCUGUAAAUUUCCUUCUCAUGAUCAGGGUCCCCUGUGAGUAAUUGACCUAGAUAAACAUACUCCUUUACAGACUCUAGAGGCUGACUGGCGAUCCUGAAUUCUUGUUCCCUUGCCAGGCUAUUCAACAUUAUCUUUGUCUUCUGCAUAUUAAUCUUCAAACCCACUCUUACACUUUGUCGGUUACGGCCCUGAAUCAUUUGUUGUAAUUCGUCCCCACUGUUGCUGAACAGGACAAUGUCGUCUGCAAACCAAAGGUUGCGGAGAUAUUCACCGUUGAUCCUCACUCCUAAGCCUUCCCAGCCUAAGAGCUUGAAUACUUCUUCUAAGCAUGCAGUGAACAGCAUUGGAGAGAUUGUGUAACCCUGGACAAAUCUUGCACGGAACGUUUGCAGUGAUGUGGACUGGCAAAUUCGUAAUGGCUUGUGGUAUGGUCCAACCAUGCUCUUUUUCCAUUAACCUUCAAAAGCUUGCUCAGACACUGGCUAUCUAGUGCGCACUUGAGAUGGAAACAAGAAAAACCGCGUGUAAGGUGGGAAGCUUAUGUGUAGGCUGUGAUAAGCGUGAUAUGCAGAGGUGAUUGAGAUUUUCUGAAACCGUUUGUGUCUUGCAUGGCCACGAUGUACAAUUUUGCGAGUCAUGAGAACGUGCAUGUGUCAUUACUGCUUUUGAAAGAACGCUGAUCGUGAGUGGUCUUGGAUUUUUCGGUUCGGUGAGACUCGAGUGACUGUGAUAGAUUUUAAGCGAUUGACAGUGAAGUGAAGUGUUUUGAUGAAAACUUUCCGGAACUAAUCCUAGUCAAAGGUAAAACAUUGUGAAUGAGGCUCCCCGUGCGAGUGCCGAAACGUCUUGUUAUUAUUUAUGUUUGUGGUCGGUGUCCAUUUUACCUUUGACUAUGAUUGACAGUGGUCGAACAAUGGGUGUCGCAGGAGGCAACUUCUAUAGUGAAGCUGUGAAGGGGAGUUCCGCGGCAGUUUUCGUGCGGCAGUGAAUGCCGGCGUGUGACGGGGUGGUCGAUAUCAAAUAUAAAUGCAAUGCAGUGCGUGUCAGAGUGCUAAAUUUGCUUUGAAACGUAAUGAUGAAAUAAUAAUGAAAUAAACGUUACCUUGCUAUAUGUCAUUUGAAUAGACAGCUUAUAUGCAGAUCUUUUUUGAACGAGUAAUCUAAUUUUUGCUUCUCACGUCGCAUUAUACCAGCUUCAAAUUGGAGGUUAGCUAUGGGCUUGUACGGCUGCGGCGGUGAAAGCUGAAGCUGUGGUGCUGCGACACUGCCUGUGUGGGAACUUUCACUAAGAACAGCCAACCACGACUGCGCUUGAACGCGAGCGAGGUUGCGAGCCAGCAAACAGACCUAUAGUACUUCUUAAGGGCAUGCAAAGUCACUUUGUUUUGCUGCCUUUGAUGUAUCAGUUGUCAGACUGACGUACAUCUUUGAGUAAUUUUUUUUGCGAUAAGGGGACUUCUUUUUGUCAGUUGACUAGACGAAGGCAAGUGUCCUUGUCGAAAUGUUGGCUACAGCGACAUCCCUUGUUUGACAAUUACUGAUCACUUCAAAUCACAAUCUUCCUGUGAUCCUCUAUCCUGUGAUAGAUUUUGCAUUGUCGGUAAAAGUUCUGGUUUUGAACUUUUACAGGGAGAUUACUUGCACUUUGGUGUAAUGUUUGUUUACGGAAAAAGUGUGUAUAGUGAGGUAUGGUGGGAAGAUGGCAAUAAGUUCGCAGAUAUUCUUUUAUGCUUGCCAUGUUAUUUCUUAAUUUUUUAACACCUGCAGCGACUUCCACAAUUGUAAGUAUGAAUACUGGCACUGUGCUUGACACUUGCCGUGAAGGGUGUGCCCUCCCACAAACUGCGACUUUGCCUGCAGCAUAGUUUGUUCUAGAAAAUGGCUGUUAAGGGUUUGUUACAGUUAUUUUGGUUCUUUGUCCAUGUUUAGCCAGUGUUCUAAGUGCAGUGCCUUUGGUAGUGGCCCAGUGUUUUACCUGCAAAAGUACACAGGAUGGAAAGAUUUCUAAUUACACAUGUGCGCUGCCCGCGAGUUUCCUUGCCAAAAUUUUCACAUUUGAAUCUGUUGUAAGUACCAAACAGAUUUUGAUGAAGGCAUGGCAAAAGGCAGAAUGAAAAAAAGAAAAUUUGGUUGCUACCUGGCUAUAAGAGAUGCUGUAGUCAAGUGGGGGCUCCAGAUUAGUUUUGACCAUUUGCUACUCUGAUGUGCACUUAAUGCUCACAUCAGUGUUUCCAACUCUGCUGCCACUGCUGGGAAUUGAACCCACAACCUAGCAGAGUGUACUGUAUAUAUGACCAUCCAUGCUACUGUCCUGAAUAUUUCAUGUGGUGCCUUGUGGCCUUAUCAUUACGUGGUGCCAUUGCUUGUAAACAAUAUAUAUAGGAAGGAUGCCAAAAUGCUUCGGAGAAAAGCCGCAUGUAGCUAUGUGCUACAUGCAGUGCUAGUUAAAUGUUGUAAAAUAUGGUACUGUUUUAUAUGAUUAAUUUUUGAUGCAUCUCAAGAGGUGUGAGUGUGCAACAAAUGAUCCCUGUGAAACAGUAGUAAGGGGAACUGGGGGCUGGAUUUCUUGUUGGUUACAGCCACACCAAGCCAAAGACAAUGAAGCCAGCGAAAGCAUAGGUUUUGUUGGCUUCAAUGUCUUUUGACUUCUUGCGGUUAGUAACGACCCCUGUGCCUUAAAACCUAGUGACUGUAGAGUAUUAUAAAUUAUGGUGCUGUUCUCUUAUAUGGUGCCCGUUACUUGGCAGCAUUGUUUAACGGCAAGUGUUAGUUCUAGACUGAUAGCUUAAGCUGCUGAAAAUGGCAUAACAUUUUCCAAGAGUUGACCCAAAUAUGACCCAAAUAAGAAAAAAUACUUUGAAAUCCAUGACGUUGCACAGAUGCACCAGGGCUCUUGUGCAAAAUUAAGAUUUAAGUUUGUCUCGUAUGAAUAAUUCGCUUACUAGAAAAUUAAUGCAAAGCUUUUCAAAAGCAUACUUUACCAGUCUAAACCGACUUAGUUUCUUUUAGUGUUAUUUAACCCUUUCGAACACCACUUUGCCAUUUGCAGAGAAAAAAUUUUUUUUAUAACAAGCCAGCUAAGUAGGCCUCAGUGAAACUAAAUACGUCAGUGGCAAACAAGAAACUUCCACUGCUUAUUUGUUGUGGCUAUGUACACAGUUGUGUACAAAGUGUCGUGGUAGUCACAAAUUUCAACAAUGUGUCUCGUGCAUGGUAACUGCAAAAGCAGUUGCAGCCUUUUCCUCAGGCAGAAUGGCACAUCCUCAACACAUUAGCCUGUGCAGCCCUCACAUUUACAGUUAGACUGCUAUGCUUCUGGCCGUGGCCUUUCUUUCUCCUUGGGAAGUCACGUUCAAGUCUGCGUGUUAACGCUGUAGGUGUUGGACGCUUCGCAAAGUAGCUUUGAAGGUGAACUCGGGCAUGUACUCUGAAAAGUGUAUGACAUUGGGGUGUUAUCCACAUUCAAGAGCCCUUUGGGCUGCCCACCAAGUGCAAUGUUCGUAGUGGUUGUAGUGGGGUUGAAUAGGGGAGAGAGAGAGAGAAAAAGGAAAAGGCAAAAUUUUGCUUUUAAAAUUUCUUGCUCAAUUUUCCACAGUACAAAGAGAUACCUGUAAAUUUUAGGUUUUGAACAUUCUCUUCCAUCUGUGUCUUCAAUGCAAGCAGAGUUAUAGAACUAACAGGGUUCGUAGCCACCAUGAAGGAAAAAAUUCAAGGGUUUUUAAGGUUCAAGGCCCUAACAAAGAAUUUACAAGGACUUGAAACAAGACUUUUUGAGGUCAUAGAAAAAGACCACAACAUGCUUUACAGCAAGGAAGCACAUCUUUUACUGCACACAAGCAAAAGUAGGCACGUUUUCCAUAAUCAAUAGCUAACUAAAAAGUUUUCACAGCUUCUUUUCUCAGCUCACUUUUUGUUUAUUGUUGGUUUCACUGCAUUGUUUUCUGCAGGUGUCAACAUUCCUUUUGCCGGUUUGCUUAAACUAAUUAAUUUCACAAUCUAGACAUAUUGCAAACACCCACAAAAAGAGGCCCAUUCUCAAACAGCAGACUCACGAUUAAGUUCCUGAAGCUUUCCCUUCAACUUGUCAUCCAUUUCUGCAAGCUCCAGAGUUUUUUAUUUUGUUGUGUUUCUCAAGCUGUUGGACUUCACAAUGAAGGUGAUGUCGCUUGUAGCUUCUGCCCGCUCAGCGUAGUUGUCAGCACAAGCUGUUAAAUCGGUGAUUGUUGCCUCCAACCUCCUCCUCUUCGUCUUCAUGCUGUCUAUUCUUCUUCAGUGUGGCUUCUCUUUGAUGCCUUUGACUGCUCGAUCGCUUCUUUUUAUCCUCCAAGUAGGCUCGAUAGCGGUUGUGUGCGGCCAAGACAUUAUUACAAUGCUCAGGAUGCCACCAGCCUUGCUUACUGCAUCGUAAACGAUUCGCUGCGACACAUAUUGUCACCUGUAGUUUUCGACAGAGACCUGGCGGUUCACGCUGAAGCCUCUUUCAAUAGUUGCCUGCCCGUGGCUCAAGACGAGAAGACGGACAACUUUCCACAAGUGCUUAUAGGAUGAGUCAAUCUUCAAGAGCUCGAGGUAGAACUUGUCUAGACUAGAAGAGUGUUUGUCAAACUGCUGUAGGUUGUGUUUCUUCUCUUGCAGAAGUUCUGUGUAUUCGCCUAGGACAGAAUCGCGCUCAUGCUCACCCAAUCGUCUCAAUGAGCCCGUCUAAUACUUUCCUGAAGCCUGUGAGACACUCAUCUGGCUUUGAGGUCAUUUGGCGAUAGCCUAGCGAAGACGGGCUCCUAACUAGAUGGUAUGUCAAUGGGCUCUUUCACAGAAUUUUCUUGGUAGUACUGAUAAGGAACUGUUUGCAUUCCAUCUUGAAGGCAAAUACGUCCUUGGUGCUCACCUUUGCGGCUUUGACGAUUUCUUCAGCUGCAUGCCCAAUGUCAACUUUCUCUGAGGAU